GACGAACGCUGGCGGUGUGCUUCAUACAUGCAAGUCGAGCGAUAAGGCCCCUUCGGGGGUACAUAAGCGGCGGACGGGUGAGUAAUACGUAGGAAAUCUGCCUUAAGGAGGGGGAUACCACCGGGAAACUGGUGCUAAUACCGCAUAUGAGUCGAGCUGAACUGCUUGCCUUGAAAGUUCCGGCGCCUUAAGAUGAGCCUGCGGCUGAGUAGCUAGUGGGUGGGGUAAAGGCCUACCAAGGCGACGAUCAGUAGCUGGUCUGAGAGGAUGAUCAGCCACAAUGGGACUGAGACACGGCCCAUACUCCUACGGGAGGCAGCAGUAGGGAAUUUUGCGCAAUGGGCGAAAGCCUGACGCAGCAACACCGCGUGAGUGACGAAGCCCCUUGGGGUGUAAAACUCUGUCAGUGGGGACGAAGCCUUACGGUACCCACAGAGGAAGCAUCGGCUAACUACGUGCCAGCCGCCGCCGUAA
rnacentral:rRNA from 1 species